CUUAACCGUUAACCCCCAAAAAUGCCUAGACAUUUCCAAUCCGGACCUUUACACUUCAUGCUCUAACCUGUUUACCGAGUGUGCUAGUACUAAUGACCAGGUUUAAUGACAGGUUGGAGAAUACGAAGAAAGUGUUGGCACAUGCUAUUUAUUUUCUGAAAGUGAUGCCGAAUCAAAGCCCCCUAGUGACGAGACCACACCCUCCGAUGAAAAUACGAACAAACCAGCAGGCAGCAGCAAGCAAGCUCCGUCCAAGGAGGUGAAUCAUCUCGCCAGCGUUCAAAAGAUCCUCAAAUUUCGGCCAAUCAACGCAGAAGCACCCGCAGCACAGAGCAUAUCAGGAUAAGGACUAGGAAAUCUGAAACAAAAACAUGUAGCUCCGUAGCUGCCAUUUCUUCUUCAACGCCUUCAGUGUACAGUAAGGUGAUCAUUGAUCCCCCGAACUGGAUUGUACACUAGCUGAAUUCAUCUAGUGGACAACAACCACUUGAUGAAUAUAUUUGCGCUAUCAUAUUGGUUUUAGUCCAUAUUGUUUCCCUCU